rnacentral:rRNA from 1 species
AUUGAACGCUGGCGGCAUGCCUUACACAUGCAAGUCGAACGGUAACAGAUCUUCGGAUGCUGACGAGUGGCGAACGGGUGAGUAAUACAUCGGAACGUGCCUAGUAGUGGGGGAUAACUACUCGAAAGAGUGGCUAAUACCGCAUGAGAUCUACGGAUGAAAGCAGGGGAUCGCAAGACCUUGUGCUACUAGAGCGGCCGAUGGCAGAUUGGGUAGUUGGUGGGAUAAAAGCUUACCAAGCCGACGGUCUGUAGCUGGUCUGAGAGGACGAUCGGCCACACUGGGACUGAGACACGCCCCAGACUCCUACGGGAGGAAGCAGUGGGGAAUUUUGGACAAUGGGCGCAAGCCUGAUCCAGCAAUGCCGCGUGCAGGAUGAAGGCCUUCGGGUUGUAAACUGCUUUUGUACGGAACGAAAAGCCCUGGGUUAAUACCCUGGGGUCAUGACGGUACCGUAAGAAUAAGCACCGGCUAACUACGUGCCAGCCGCCGCCGUAAGAC